rnacentral:sRNA from 1 species
ACUGGGCAUGGUGGCCCACGCCUGUAAUCUCAGCAUCUUGGGAAGUGGAGGCAGGAAGAUGGCAACUUCAAAGCCAGCCUCAGCAACUUAGUGAGGCUCUAAGCAACUUAGUCCUGUCUCUA